rnacentral:rRNA from 1 species
AUUGAACGCUGGCGGCAGGCCUAACACAUGCCAGUCGAGCGGAUGAAGGGAGCUUGCUCCUGGAUUCAGCGGCGGACGGGUGAGUAAUGCCUAGGAAUCUGCCUGGUAGUGGGGGAUAACGUCCGGAAGCGGGCGCUAAUACCGCAUACGUCCUGAGGGAGAAAGUGGGGGAUCUUCGGACCUCACGCUAUCAGAUGAGCCUAGGUCGGAUUAGCUAGUUGGUGGGGUAAAGGCCUACCAAGGCGACGAUCCGUAACUGGUCUGAGAGGAUGAUCAGUCACACUGGAACUGAGACACGGUCCAGACUCCUACGGGAGGCAGCAGUGGGGAAUAUUGGACAAUGGGCGAAAGCCUGAUCCAGCCAUGCCGCGUGUGUGAAGAAGGUCUUCGGAUUGUAAAGCACUUUAAGUUGGGAGGAAGGGCAGUAAGUUAAUACCUUGCUGUUUUGACGUUACCAACAGAAUAAGCACCGGCUAACUUCGUG